AUUUAUUUUAGGUGUACUGUCCCUUUAAAAGGUCAGAGUUAAGAACAGCAUGAGCGCGCGGUGGAGCGAGGGACGCCUGGCACUUUGACCUCAAACUACAACCUCUCCAUUCAGAGCAGCAGAUUAUAACUAGUUCUCCCUCUCUCAGAAGUUAUUCCUCCAGCUCUUUGUCCCUGUAAACGAACCACUCUCUGCUAAACAGUGCACAGACGUAAACGCCUCCUCCUCCUGAUUACUUCUAUCUCUUGCGGUUGAACUCGACUGACUCCCUGAAGAGAAACAACUGUGUGCUUCAAGGACAGACGGUCAGGGAAUGCAGGACACCUGAGAGUAGUGUGUGUGUGUGUGUGUGUGUGGUGCUUGUUACUGGAAGACUGAUGUGUUUUCAGUGUGUGUGAGACACAAGGAAAAGCCAGAGGAAACAAGGAAAUGGAGAACGGCCUGGCAACCGAUCGCUUUUGGCAACAGGAGAGGAGAAAAACGAGGAAAGGAAAGAGAAAGAGAAGAAGAAGUGUUGACAGCUAAAGCUCCUGAAGGUGUGAGGAGCACGCACACACACACACACACACACACACACACGGAAGAACCAGGACCCUGAUCGUAUUCAUCCGAAUUGGGAAAGUCAUAUACACCUAGAAUGGAUUGAGGAUGUGUAAAUCAUGGAGUAAUUGACAUUUUGGGGUAAACUAUGCCUUUAAAUACUUGGACAAUCCUGUUUUGUAUCUCUAUUAUAGCUGUUCGUGAUGUUUCUAACAGUUUGGCAUCUAGUUUCUGUGGCUUGCUCAGUUUAAGGGCUAUCUAAGUAGUUAUUUAUGUGUUUAGUGAACACAAAGCCCUCCAGGUCCACUCAGCUGCCCACAUACAGUAUCUACAGUUGAUCAUACACAACAAACAACACAGUUUAUGUGCAACCGCACACGCUCACAUCUAAAAAUAACAAUGCAGACGCUAGAGAAGCUGUGUGUGAGAGGUUAUCUGGCGUGAAACUUGAUAUUAGUGGCAGUGUGACGGUUGAAACACGACCUGCAGGACGGAGCGAGUGCAUGCCACGAAACACACAGGAAAACCUGCCUAAAUAUCCCUAUCUGACUCAGUCACGCUCCAAAACAGCACGGGUUCCUGGGACGUGUUCUUGAUAAUGAAAGAUCACAUCAAAACGUGAUUUGCAGAAUGAACCGCGGUGAUCUGUGAUGGAGCUCGGGGUGUUGGGAUAUUUAAAGCUGCUCCAGAGCCACACAUGUUUCUGAGUCUGAGGUCACCAGCCCGCGAUGAUACAGCAUUCACAAACAAUGGGGCGUCAGCGGUGGAUAAAGAAGGCAGUCUAGAGGCCUGACGUCUGGGAAGCUCACAGACACAGGCGUGUUUAACCCUUUCUGGGAAUGAAUGGGCUCAGAGCCUGCUAAACAGAUGGUGGAGUGUAAAUGGUGUCAGGUCCAACGUGUGUGACGUCAACACCGCGUGAAGAAUGAGGGUGACAGACGAAGAACAGAAGCUGGACUCAAUGUAGCAGCUUAAACGUAGAGAAGAAGAACGUAAGUCAGAGAACUUUGGAACAGCAUGAAGGAGAGUAAAUUAUAAAGUAUGACGACCAUUUCUCAUUCAUAAACUGUGAAGUCGAGAGGAAUCAAGAAGGAAAUCCCUACUUGGGAUUCUGAGGCGGUCUUCAUACGACCUUCAUUCAACACACAGUGCCAAUUACUCAGGCCAGGCCUUCACAAACCACUCAUUUUAAUGCCCAAGACAUCCAUACGCACACAAAAACAAACACACAGACAUAAAGACGGAGCAGCUAUGCAAACAGAGCUCUAGGUGGAUCUUCUAAAUGAUCGUUUUGUCUGGUCAGGAUCUGUUUGAGAAAAUCUCUGCUAAACGAGUCGGACACCACGAUAACAUCUGCGUUUUCACUCCUGUCAGAUUCAGUCCAUAAACACUGAGGAAUAUAUGGAGAGAAUGACAGAUGGGUUUAAAGAGUGACAUCUGGAAAGGAGAAGUGGGCUGAUAAGAUGGUGUUGACAGCCAUGCAGAACAACAUAAUAGUGCGGGAACAAGUGAUUCAUUUGAACAAACAGCUUUGUUUGGUUGGUUGGUUUUAAGGAAUCAGUUCAAAACACUGAUUCAUGUGAGCAGUUUGGCUUGGAUGGUUCAGUUUAAUAAAUCUGUUAAAACUA